GACGAACGCUGGCGGCGUGCUUAACACAUGCAAGUCGAACGGAAAGGCCCUGCUUUUGUGGGGUGCUCGAGUGGCGAACGGGUGAGUAACACGUGAGUAACCUGCCCUUGACUUUGGGAUAACUUCAGGAAACUGGGGCUAAUACCGGAUAGGAGCUCCUGCUGCAUGGUGGGGGUUGGAAAGUUUCGGCGGUUGGGGAUGGACUCGCGGCUUAUCAGCUUGUUGGUGGGGUAGUGGCUUACCAAGGCGUUGACGGGUAGCCGGCCUGAGAGGGUGACCGGCCACAUUGGGACUGAGAUACGGCCCAGACUCCUACGGGAGGCAGCAGUGGGGAAUAUUGCACAAUGGGCGGAAGCCUGAUGCAGCAACGCCGCGUGCGGGAUGACGGCCUUCGGGUUGUAAACCGCUUUCGCCUGUGACGAAGCGUGAGUGGCGGUAAUGGGUAAAGAAGCACCGGCUAACUACGUG
rnacentral:rRNA from 1 species